rnacentral:rRNA from 1 species
GACGAACGCUGGCGGCGUGCUUAACACAUGCAAGUCGAACGGAAAGGCCCUGCUUUUGUGGGGUGCUCGAGUGGCGAACGGGUGAGUAACACGUGAGUAACCUGCCCUUGACUUUGUGAUAACUUCAGGAAACUGGGGCUAAUACCGGAUAGGAGCUCUUGCUGCAUGUUGGGGGUUGGAAAGUUUCGGCGGUUGUGGAUGGACUCGCGGCUUAUGAGCUUGUUGGUGGGGUAGUUGCUUACCAAGGCUUUGACGGGUAGCCGGCCUGAGAGGGUUAACGGCCUCAUGGGGACUAAGAUACGGCGCAGACUCCUACGGGAGGCAGCAGUGGGGAGUAUUGCACAGUGGGCGGAAGUCUGAUGCAGCGACGCCGCGUGCGGGAUGACGGCCUUCGGGUUGUGAACCGCUUUCGCCUGUAACGAGGCGUGAGUGACGGUAAUGAGUAAAGAAGCAACGGCUAACUACGUG